rnacentral:rRNA from 1 species
CAGCAGCCGCGGAAUACAGAGGGUGCGAGCGUUAAUCGGAUUUACUGGGCGUAAAGCGUGCGUAGGCGGCUUCUUAAGUCGGAUGUGAAAUCCCUGAGCUUAACUUAGGAAUUGCAUUCGAUACUGGGAAGCUAGAGUAUGGGAGAGGAUGGUAGAAUUCCAGGUGUAGCGGUGAAAUGCGUAGAGAUCUGGAGGAAUACCAAUGGCGAAGGCAGCCAUCUGGCCUAAUACUGACGCUGAGGUACGAAAGCAUGGGGAGCAAACAGGAUUAGAUACCCGCGUAGUCCCUGUCUCUUAUACC